ACCUGCAUGGGGGAAGACUCAGGGGUGUUGCCUAUUGACUGCGCCCCUUACAGAGAGGGAUCAGGACGGUAUGAGUCCUGGCUUCACCCGCUUAAAGCACUGUAAGUGGCCAAAUUCCUGGUCCCCACAUGAUUUCUAAAGGGGUUCGAGUUGUCACUCAUUAUCCAGCAGUGGAUGGGGAGGGGGAACAGGAGACUGGGGACGUGGGAAAUGCAGCUGGAAGAGACCCUCGCGCUAGAGGGUCCAGGCCCUGACUUCACGCCCCGCCAUCGCUCCCCAGCUGACCUCGUGCGUCCACGCGUCCUGCGCGCUCCUGUACCCCAUGCGCUGGGAGCACGUGCUGAUCCCCACGCUGCCCCCACACCUGCUGGACUACUGCUGCGCGCCCAUGCCCUACCUCAUUGGAGUGCACGCCAGUCUCGCCGAGGUGAGCGUGGAUCUACCCAGACGACGGGGACGUGAGGGUUCCCCCUCCCUCUACAUCCCCAGAUGCCCUCCUCUGCCAAGGACUCCCGGGCUCUGAGCGGCCGGCCCCGCUUUUCCGCAGAGAGUACGAGAAAAAGCCCUGGAGGACGUCGUGGUGCUGAACGUGGACGCCAAUACCUUGGAGACGACCUUUAACGACGUGCAGGCGCUGCCUCCAGACGUGGUGUCCCUGCUGAGGCUCCGGCUCAGGAAGGUCGCCCUGGCUCCCGGGGAAGGGGUGUCCCGUCUCUUCCUCAAAGCCCAGGCCCUGCUCUUCGGGGGGUACCGCGACGCACUCGUCUGCAGCCCGGGCCAGCCAGUGACCUUCAGUGAGGAAGCCUUCUUGGCCCAGAAGCCUGGGGCACCUCUUCAGGCCUUCCACCGGCGGGCUGUGCACCUGCAGCUGUUCAAACAGUUCAUCGAAGCCCGGCUGGAGAAGCUCAACAAGGGGGAGGGCUUCUCAGAUCAAUUCGAGCAGGAGAUCACUGGCUGCGGGGCCUCCUCAGGGGCCCUUCGAUCCUAUCAGCUCUGGGCCGACAAUCUAAAGAAAGGUGGUGGUGCCCUCCUGCACUCAGUCAAGGCCAAGACCCAACCAGCCGUCAAGAACAUGUACCGCUCGGCCAAGAGUGGCUUGAAGGGGGUGCAGAGCCUUCUAAUGUAUAAGGAUGGGGACUCUGUCCUGCAGAGGGGGGGCUCUCUGAGGGCCCCAGCCCUCACCAGCCGCUCAGACCGCCUGCAGCAACGCCUCCCAAUCACUCAGCACUUUGGAAAGAACCGGCCCCUUCGCCCCAGCAGGAGACGCCAGCUGGAAGAGGGAACUUCCGAGCCCCCAGGGGCGGGGACACCCCCGCUGAGCCCUGAGGAUGAGGGGUGCCCGUGGGCAGAAGAAGCUCUGGACAGCAGCUUCUUGGGGUCUGGAGAAGAACUGGAUUUGUUGAGCGAGAUUCUGGACAGUCUUAGCGUGGGAGCCAAGAGCGCAGGCAGCCUGAGACCGAGCCAGAGUUUAGACUGCUGUCACAGAGGAGACCUGGACAGCUGCUUCAGCCUGCCCAACAUACCAAGAUGGCAACCAGACGAUAAGAAACUACCAGAGCCGGAGCCCCAGCCCCUGUCCCUGCCAUCCCUGCAAAAUGCCUCGUCUUUGGAUGCCACCAGCUCUUCAAAGGACCCCAGGUCCCAGCUGAUACCCUCAGAGUCCGACCAAGAAGUCACGUCUCCAUCCCAGUCCUCAACAGCUUCUGCAGACCCAAGCAUCUGGGGGGACCCCGAACCCUCUCCUCUCACAGAGCCCCUAAUUCUUCAUCUCACCCCUUCCCACAAGGCACCUGAAGAUUCUAUAGCCCAGGAAAACCCCACUCCCUGGCUCUCCACUGCACCCACUGAGCCCAGCCCUCCAGAAAGCCCCCAAAUUCUGGCCCCCACAAAGCCCAACUUUGAUAUAGCCUGGACGUCCCAGCCCCUUGAUCCUUCCUCAGACCCCAGUUCUCUGAAGGAACCCAGAGCCCAGCCUCCCAAAGCCCUGCUGGCAGAGCACGCUCACCUCCAGCCACGGGAGGAACCAGGAGCCCUGAAUUCCCCUGCUACACCCACCAGCAACUGGCAAAAGCCCCAGCCCAGUAGCCGGCCCAGAGUCGCUGAUCUUAAGAAGUGCUUUGAGGGUUAAGAAUCAGGGGUCCAGGAGAGACCCCAGUCCCUCAAUAAAGCCACAAGAGCCCAAAAAAGCUGGUUUUUUUCCUGGUGAAUUUCUCUGGUGCCCUCACUCUGCUCGGAAAUCCAUCCCACCCACCUCUGUCCCUCCAAGGGCAGCCUCUCUAACUGGCUCCUAGCAGGGAAUUCCAGGAAGCCUCCUGGUCCUCUACAAUCCUGGCAACCUUACAAUUCCUCUCGGCAUUUGUCACUUCCAUCUCAGCUAAUGCACCCACCAGCUCAAACACACCAAUAAAGCUUUUGUUACAUCUC
rnacentral:sRNA from 1 species